UGCACCGGCGGCAUACGGAGGUUCCCAGGCUAGGGGUCAAAUCAGAGCUACAGCUGCCGGCCUACACCACAGCUCACAGCAACGCUGGAUCUUUAAACACUGAGUGAGGCCAGGGAUCAAACCCAAAACCUCAUGCUUAGUAGGUGGAUUCGUUUCCGAUGCACCACAAUGGGAACUCCUGAAUUUUUUUUGAAAUUUUAUUUUAUCGUGGUAAGAACACUUAAAAGAUCUACCUUCAUAACAAAUUUUUUUAGGUGUACAAUAUGUAUUGACUAUUGGUACAAUGUUACAGAGCAGAUCUCUCAAGUUUAUUUAUCCAGCUUCACUUAAACUUUACACUCGCUGAUGAGCAACUCCCCACUUCCCCGGCCCCAGUCCCUGAAUUUUUAAAUCACUGAGAACCAGAGAGCUCUCAACCUCUCCAUCUACCUAUGCACUGUGUUCCUAUUCCCUCGCGAUACAUAUAUUUUCAAUUACUCACUUGGUUUGGGGGUUAGGAUACAGUUAACUGGUUGAAAUAGUCAUUCUGUUUACAUCUGUCUAAAUGAGAAGAAACUGGAAGCUCCCCACCACCACCCGCCCAGUCAGAGAAGCGCAUGGUGAGGGGGCUGGGGUCCCAACGGCACUGAGCACUACCCGAGUGGACCCCCAACCCCCGCCUCAACUUGAACGCAGAGGGCCACGCCCCGCUGAUAAAACCAUCUGCCAGUUACCAGUAUCUGUUCUCACCUAAUGGUCUAUGCUGCAUGCAAGGAAAGUGAAAUGAAGAUAAAACAUAUCACCAGAAAGGCACCGGCAGAAAUAACCCCCCAGUUAGAAAAUAACCCCUUUCUCCCUCCUUCCUCCAUGGAUGCAGCUGGUUCACUAUUUACUGAAGACCGACAAAGUGCUGGAGACGGAUGCGAAGGGCGAGUUGGUUCUGCAGCCCUCCCAAGGCGGCAGGGAGGCGAACUGCCGCGAGGAAUGAAAGCCGGAGAAGAGGCGGCGAGUCCCGGGCUCCCGGGCUCAGAGCAAAGUGCCAGGCCUGUGCCCCACCUGUCCAUCUACCUCCUCCUGAGCAAAGGUAGGCACUAUGGCCUCACUCUGAAGUCCUGAAAGCUAAGGAACAGAACAGAACCACUGAGUAACCUCACCCAACACCAGAGCUGGGAUUCGAAUCCACAAGUCUGAACCAGGACCUGAACUCACGAGACGGAGAUGAAGUGCCUUGCUGGGAGGGUCACGGAGGGCCCUCCUCUCAUUACCCACUUGGAAAACGGCCUUCAUCCUUGGACAGAAUUCAGGAAUCAUCUGCUCUCUGAAACCUGACUCAUUCUCCUCCCAGCCUCAGCAAUUAAUAACAUCCUUAUUCACUGUUACGACACAACAGUGGCCAAGGAGUUUGUUUUAUAUUUUUUAAUUUUUUAGCCACCAGCCGGCACCACAGCCACAGCAACACCAGAUCCAAGCCGCAUCUGUGACCUACACCACAGCUCACGGCAACGCCGGCUCCCCCACCCGGUGAGUGAGGCCUCCUGGAUACUCGUCGGGUUCAUUUCCGCUGCACCACAACAGGAACUCCCAAGGAGUGUGUUUCACAAAGAAAGUGAGGUGAUGGGCCCAUGACCCUGGGAUGCACUCAUCUCGCCGCACACCCCUCACGCAGAAGCACCUGGCCCUAGAGAACGGUGGAACGGCCUCCUGGGAACUCACCGUACUGGACAGGAGACUCGCCUCUGGAGUCAGAGAGCUGUCCCACAAGCUGCAGCCGUACACACUGCACAGACGCCCAACAGAUGGUGCUGGUUCUCCAAACACCCAGGAAACCGGGGUCCAGACCAGAGCAGCACCCCACUCUCACCUCAGUGUAAGUUCUGCCUUCCCUCCGUCACAAGGCUGGUUGGGAUCCAUCAGAAGUCUUAGCAUCCAAGAGCUGAACACUGGCACCAGAUACUGUUUCAGUACCCAGGAGCUAGCCUGGCCACCCAGACUCCUAACGCCUUGUAACCUGCUAAGGUUAAAAAAAGAAGAAACCAACCAACAAAAACGGUGACCAGCGACAGUGAUGGUCAAGGAUAAACAGAACACAAAACAGGUGGUAAACCCCACAGAGUACGUCUUCUUUAAAAAUACCUAUUUCUGGGGUUUCCACUGUGACUCGGCAGGUUAGGAGCCGGACACAGUGUUCGCAAGGAUGCAGGUUAGACCCCUGGCCUGGCUCCACGAGUUAAGGAGCUUGCGGUGUUGCUGCAAGCUGUAGCGCAGGUCACAGAUGCGGCUCGAAUCCCCCACACUGCUGUGGCUGUGGCACAGACCAGCAGCUGCAGUUCUGAUUCAACCCCUAGCCUGGGAACUUUCCAUAACCCCCAGGUGCAGCCCUAAAGAGAAGGGAAAAAAAUGUAUCUUUGAAGUUCCCAUGUGGUGCAACAGGUUAAGGAUCUGGCAUUGUCACUGCAGCAGCUUGGGCUGUGGCAAGGGUUCUAUCCCUGAACCCGAAGCCUGGUGCAACCAAAGAGAAAAACUAAAACACAAACAAAUGCCUUUUUAAAAAAUGCCUAAAAACAUAUCAAGAAUAUAGUGGAGGAAUUCCCAUCGUGGCGCAGUGGUUAACGAAUCCGACUAGGAACCAUGAGGUUGCCGGUUCCAUCCCUGGCCUGGCCCAGUGGGGCAUAAGGCCUAUUUCCUACCGAAAUAACUUCUUGAUAACCAGAAUUAAUGAGUUAAUGUUGCUUCUGAUUUUGUUUGCUUUUAAAUUAAUGCAAAAUGAUUCAUUCAUAAAUGAAAAAUGCUGUGCGUGUAGAAUUUAAAACUCCUCUGUUCAAGUUUAUUAAGACAGUUUAGACGUAAGCAUUCACUCCGGGAACGAGGCUGCAGCUUCUGAACGUCAGAGAACCUGAGGCCCUGUCCUCGGCCUCUGCUCACCUACGCUGUCCCUCCGCCAACCAUGUCCACUAACCAUCAAUACAUAUAAUUCCCAGAAGGCAGUUUGGGGCUCAAAUGCCUUUGAGGCAACUAUGUAAGCUGCACCUCCCCUUAGGUAUCUCAAGGCACUUUGGGCUCAACAUGUCCAAAGCCAAAUUUACACACCUCAACCCCUGUGGCAAUGGCGAGCCAGAGCUCCCGGCAGUGCCCACUGCAAAGAGAACGGCCGACAAGCAGAGGCAGCCAUCCUGGUGCGAGGGACAGCCCCACCCCAUGCAAGGAAGAUCUGUGCUCCUGAGAAGACACCACGGCCCGUUCUCCACCGCCACCCCUACGCCAAAAUCCAGGAGGCACACCACACACCCGCCAAACGCCUGCCAGCACCUGACACCGGGCGGCUCCCUGGUGUUCCUGCCUCCGCCUCUGCACCUGACGACCACGACGCAUCUAGAACAAUUCCUUCAGACCCUGAGUGACAGCAUGCCACGCUUCUGCUCAAAACCCUGCCACCUUAGCAAGAUAAAAGUUCAUGUCAUUAGAUGGACAGAGGAGAACCUCCAAGUCUGUCCAGACAGAGCCCAACAAGCAGGCACUCAGCAGAUGCUCACGGGACAGAGGGCCACGCGUGACAGACAUGCGGCGACAUCAGACCUCAACACGGAGCUGCAUGCAGAUAAGAGCAGGGCCCGUGCUCCGAGCUGUUUGGUAGCGAACACACAAGCACAAGCAAGGCCCCCCAGAUCCAGCCCUUCUGCAGAGGCCCCAUCUCAGGGAAAACCCUUUCUAAAGUCAGACUCCUGAGAACCCACGCUGACCUUCCGGCACUCACCCACCUCGUUCUCCACCUCUACUGCCUCCUCUCACCUGGAUUACGAGGGGCCUUCGGCCUCCCUGUGUCUACUGUCACCCGACAAACCAUCAUUCUCACUGCGGCCAGAACGGGCUUCUCUGCUUCUCAAGGCCCACCAAGUGUCUGCAGGCGCUCUUCACCAAAAGAGCCAAAGCCGCGGUCUAGCCCUCCAGGCUCCACCCGGUGCCUCCCAGG
rnacentral:lncRNA from 1 species